rnacentral:lncRNA from 1 species
CUUGGAUAAAGGAAUAGGUGGCGUACGCCUCAUUAUUCCUUGAAUAAGCAAGUAGGAGGCGUACGCCUCACUACCGUGCAUACUCAACAUCCACAAACAAACUUUCAAAUAAUCGAACGAAAAAGGAGUAGAAGGCGUACGCCUUAUUACUCCUCGAAGGAGUUGGUCAAUUGGUGUACACCACAUUGCUCAAUCUUUUGUCGUUUUUUAAAAUACCUUAACAAAUCAAACUAAUGUCUCGCCCCCGUGCGACCUACAACCUAAAAUUUCUUUUCAAAAGAACACUGUUAAUCCUUUCUAAUGCGCAUAACAAACCAAUGCUUAAGCCUCCGCCGAGAGUAAACAAGCCAGCGUUUAGCCUUUAGAACGCGAUCUACA